GCUGCACAAUGGAAUCGUACUAGAGACCACCACAAAGAAAGGGAACACAGCCCUGCACAUCGCGGCCCUGGCAGGGCAGGAGCAGGUGGUCACAGAGCUGGUUAACUACGGGGCCAAUGUCAACGCUCAGUCUCAGGAUGGAUUUACUCCUCUGGCUGUGGCUCUUCAGCAGGGACAUGAGAAUGUCGUGGCUUUGCUCAUCAACUACGGCACCA